rnacentral:rRNA from 1 species
GACGAACGCUGGCGGCGUGCUUAACACAUGCAAGUCGAACGGUAAGGCCCUUCGGGGUACACGAGCGGCGAACGGGUGAGUAACACGUGGGUGAUCUGCCCUGCACUUCGGGAUAAGCCUGGGAAACUGGGUCUAAUACCGGAUAGGACUCCGGACUGCAUGGUCUGGGGUGGAAAGCUUUUGCGGUGUGGGAUGGGCCCGCGGCCUAUCAGCUUGUUGGUGGGGUGAUGGCCUACCAAGGCGACGACGGGUAGCCGGCCUGAGAGGGUGACCGGCCACACUGGGACUGAGAUACGGCCCAGACUCCUACGGGAGGCAGCAGUGGGGAAUAUUGCACAAUGGGCGCAAGCCUGAUGCAGCGACGCCACGUGAGGGAUGACGGCCUUCGGGUUGUAAACCUCUUUCAGCACCGACGAAGCGCAAGUGACGGUAGGUGCAGAAGAAGGACCGGCCAACUACGUGCCAGCCGCCGCUGUAA